rnacentral:rRNA from 1 species
CAGCUUGCUGUUUCGCUGACGAGUGGCGGACGGGUGAGUAAUGUCUGGGAAACUGCCUGAUGGAGGGGGAUAACUACUGGAAACGGUAGCUAAUACCGCAUAACGUCGCAAGACCAAAGAGGGGGACCUUCGGGCCUCUUGCCAUCGGAUGUGCCCAGAUGGGAUUAGCUAGUAGGUGGGGUAACGGCUCACCUAGGCGACGAUCCCUAGCUGGUCUGAGAGGAUGACCAGCCACACUGGAACUGAGACACGGUCCAGACUCCUACGGGAGGCAGCAGUGGGGAAUAUUGCACAAUGGGCGCAAGCCUGAUGCAGCCAUGCCGCGUGUAUGAAGAAGGCCUUCGGGUUGUAAAGUACUUUCAGCGGGGGUGAAGGGAGUAAAGUUAAUACCUUUGCUCAUUGACGUUACCCGCAGAAGAAGCACCGGCUAACUCCGUGCCAGCAGCCGCGGUAAUACGGAGGGUGCAAGCGUUAAUCGGAAUUACUGGGCGUAAAGCGCACGCAGGCGGUUUGUUAAGUCAGAUGUGAAAUCCCCGGGCUCAACCUGGGAACUGCAUCUGAUACUGGCAAGCUUGAGUCUCGUAGAGGGGGGUAGAAUUCCAGGUGUAGCGGUGAAAUGCGUAGAGAUCUGGAGGAAUACCGGUGGCGAAG